UGGACAGGUUGCUCAUGAUUGCCACCCAAUAUUUCUUUGGCCAGAGACAGAGAAUACUUCCACAAGAGGUAUUUGAUGCAGGCAGACUCAAUCCAAGGGUUUUAAAGGGCCCUGGUAAAAGAAAAAUAAAGAGAGUUAAACUAAUUUGAGUGUAGUAAAAAUUAAAUCAAAAUAAAAAAAAGAAAUAAUUAAGAUAAUAGCGACUUGGAAUUUGGCGAAGAAGG
rnacentral:lncRNA from 1 species